rnacentral:pre_miRNA from 1 species
GGUGGGGCACAGGAUCCUGGGUUGUGUCCCCUGGCGUCCUGGGCUCCGGGGCCUGCGCCGCUGGUAUCGUGCUCACCAGGGCUGAGCAGCCCCCU